GACGAACGCUGGCGGCGUGCUUAACACAUGCAAGUCGAACGGAAAGGCCCAGCUUGCUGGGUGCUCGAGUGGCGAACGGGUGAGUAACACGUGGGUGAUCUGCCCCUAACUUCGGGAUAAGCUUGGGAAACUGGGUCUAAUACCGGAUAGGACAAUCGUUUAGUGUCGGUUGUGGAAAGUUUUUUCGGUUAGGGAUGAGCCCGCGGCCUAUCAGCUUGUUGGUGGGGUAAUGGCCUACCAAGGCGUCGACGGGUAGCCGGCCUGAGAGGGUGGACGGCCACAUUGGGACUGAGAUACGGCCCAGACUCCUACGGGAGGCAGCAGUGGGGAAUAUUGCACAAUGGGCGCAAGCCUGAUGCAGUGACGCCGCGUGGGGGAUGACGGCCUUCGGGUUGUAAACCUCUUUCGACAGGGACGAAGCUUUGGUGACGGUACCUGUAUAAGAAGCACCGGCUAACUACGUGCCAGCCGCCGCGGUAA
rnacentral:rRNA from 1 species